AUGCUACUCCCUCCGUCCGGAAAUACUUGUCCUAGAAAUGCAUGUAUCUAGACUUAUUUUAGUUAUAGAUACAUUCAUUUUAUUCAUUUCUAGGACAAGUAUUUCCGGACUGAGGGAGUAUUAU
rnacentral:pre_miRNA from 1 species